rnacentral:rRNA from 1 species
UGGGGAAUUUUGGACAAUGGGCGAAAGCCUGAUCCAGCAAUGCCGCGUGUGUGAAGAAGGCCUUCGGGUUGUAAAGCACUUUUGUCCGGAAAGAAAUCCUUGGCUCUAAUACAGUCGGGGGAUGACGGUACCGGAAGAAUAAGCACCGGCUAACUACGUGCCAGCAGCCGCGGUAAUACGUAGGGUGCAAGCGUUAAUCGGAAUUACUGGGCGUAAAGCGUGCGCAGGCGGUUUGCUAAGACCGAUGUGAAAUCCCCGGGCUCAACCUGGGAACUGCAUUGGUGACUGGCAGGCUAGAGUAUGGCAGAGGGGGGUAGAAUUCCACGUGUAGCAGUGAAAUGCGUAGAGAUGUGGAGGAAUACCGAUGGCGAAGGCAGCCCCCUGGGCCAAUACUGACGCUCAUGCACGAAAGCGUGGGGAGCAAACAGGAUUAGAUACCCCUGGUAGUCCACGCCCUAAACGAUGUCAACUAGUUGUUGGGGGAUUCAUUUCCUUAGUAACGUAGCUAACGCGUGAAGUUGACCGCCUGGGGAGUACGGUCGCAAGAUUAAAACUUAAUGAAUUGACGGGGUCAUAGCUGUUU